UACGAAGGGGGCUAGCGUUGUUCGGAAUUACUGGGCGUAAAGCGCACGUAGGCGGAUACUUAAGUUAGGGGUGAGAUCCCGGAGCUCAACUCUGGAACUGCCUUUAAUACUGGGUAUCUCGAGUCCGAGAGAGGUGAGUGGAAUUCCGAGUGUAGAGGUGAAAUUCGUAGAUAUUCGGAGGAACACCAGUGGCGAAGGCGGCUCACUGGCUCGGUACUGACGCUGAGGUGCGAAAGCGUGGGGAGCAAACAGG
rnacentral:rRNA from 1 species